GAUGAACGCUAGCGGCAGGCCUAAUACAUGCAAGUCGAACGGGGUAGCAAUACCUAGUGGCGCACGGGUGCGUAACACGUGGGUAAUCUGCCUCAAAGCCUGGGAUAACCUUCCGAAAGGUUGGCUAAUACUGGAUAAGCUCACGGUGACUUCGGUCAUUGAGAGAAAAGGCGCCUCAUAAGGGUGUCACUUUGAGAUGAGCCCGCGGCCAUCAGUUAGUUGGCGGGGAACGCCACCAGACUACGACGGUAGCUGGUCUGAGA
rnacentral:rRNA from 1 species